UACGAAGGGUGCGAGCGUUAUUCGGAAUCACUGGGUGUAAAGAGCGUGUAGGCGGUUUGGUAAGUCAUUCGUUAAAGAGCUCGGCUUAACUGAGCAAGUGCGGACGAAACUGCUAGACUAGAGUGCAAGAGAGAAGAGUGGAAUUCUCGGAGUAGCGGUAAAAUGCGUAGAUCUCGAGAGGAACACCGGUUGCGAAGGCGGCUCUUUGGCUUGUAACUGACGCUGAAAUGCGAAAGCGUGGGGAGCAAACAGG
rnacentral:rRNA from 1 species